GCGACCGUGGCGGAAUUGGCAGACGCGCCAGCCUUAGGAGCUGGUGGGGCAACCCGUGGGGGUUCGAGUCCCUGGUCGUC
rnacentral:tRNA from 1 species